UGGUUGAAACUUCUCGCACAAACUGGACAUUUGUGGGGCGAUUCUUCCAUGUGAAGUAUCUUGUGGACCGCCAGGGUUCUGCUCUGGCAGAAUCCUUUGCCGCAUUCACCGCAUUUAAACGGCUUCUCCUUACUGUGGAUGUACCUGCGACGAAAGAAGAGAAUAUUUAACGCUCGUGGUCUCAUGUUGUCCUUGCCGAUAAAUCGGUCCAACGUAAUGCUCUCAAAUUUCAUCAAACGCACCGAAAUAUAUCAAGUAACAUCUUUCUUUUGUUUUUGUUAGAAUGUUCACGCAACUACCCGCGUUUUUUAAGGUAUCGUCGACGAACCUUCGAUUGCAUCACGUUGCAGACAAUGUCGGAUCGAUAAUGAAUCUGUGUUUUCUCUUUUUAUUUUUUAACAACGACGACGAAAUGAACUUACCGAUGAUCCCUGAGAUGAUCCUGCCUCCGGAAGGCCUUGCCGCAAAUAUCACAGCUGUAGGGUCGUUCGUCCGUGACGCCGGCGGAGGAACCGGUAGUCCCGGAUGCAUUCCGUGUCCCGUUGAAUUGGAAAUAUGCGCGGGAUGUCCGGGAUGUCCGGCGGCGGGAUGCGCAUGAGGAUGCUGAUGUUGAUGGGGAUGCUGAUGACGGUGUGCCGGAUGCGAAUACGGAUGAUGCCCACCCGGAUGAAGUUUCCUCAGGUACCUCACGACCUCCGGUAGGCGGUACCUCCUGUUGUAGAAGUUUACCUCCCGGUUGGAGAGUGACUUCUACAGGGGCGGGGCUUCCGAUCAGCGCCCGAGGGUACCGCGACGCCGCUACCCCUCAGGAUUUCAAGAGAGACUCGUAGACCCCGUGGCUGGUGAAAGGUUCGACUCGCUCCAAGUUCGAUCGUACCGCGGUGCAAGCUCGAGUUCAGCGGUUGUUAACGUCGGUCGGUACAGAUCCGAAGAAUGUACCAGCGAUCGACAAGCAUGCUGAAAAAAGUGUCGGGUUUUCUACCGAUGAUCACCACUCCGAGACUGAC